AUGGGAGGAGGAGCAGCGUCCAGAAAGGAUUAUAUUGCUCAAGGUCGGAAUCUAAACCCAGGGAUGACAUCGAAAGCCAGGCUCCCAGGUCUCUUUCAGGAUAACUAUCAUAGCUUGGCAGGCCACCUUUCUCCUUCCCUUCAAGAUGAGGCAGGCACUGUUCUUAUCCUCAAAAAAGAGAAACAGGUGUGGAGAGGUCUUCACAUGGGCUUAGCACACUUAACCCUUCUGAGGGUCCUCCUCUUUCAGGACCACAAGGACCCUCCUCCCCAGAUCUGGGCCUUAGUGGACAAUCAAGGACCCUCACACACAACCAAGAUCCUACAGUCAAGCAAUCAGCUAAUCUUGGAAAUUCAAGCCACAGAACCCAGCUUCAGCCUUCAAGGGUUCUGCCGCCCUCCCCACUGGCUGCUCUGUCCAGCAACAGUGGUGACGACGCCCACUUCCUGACCGACACUCGCCAUGCACUGGACCUCGCCUGAGCGUUCUCCGUGCAUGAUACCGUUCAGUCCUGCCACAUAUCCUGGGGAAGAGGUUUUGCUUUUUGCUUUUUGCUAUUAUUCUUAUUUUUUAGGUGGUAAAUUAACACACAUGUAAUCUUCUUUAAUCUAACAACAGAUAUAAAAAGACGGCUCCCCUAAUGACUCACACUUUUAAACAGCUGGUAUAUACCCUUGCAGCUCAGAUGGUAAAGGGUUUGCCUGCAGUGUGGAGACCCGGGUUCGAUCCCUGGGUCGGGAAGAUGCCCUGGAGAAGGAAANNNNNNNNNNNNNNNNNNNNNNNNNNNNNNNNNNNCCAUGGAUGGAGGAGCCUGGUUGGCUACUGUCCAUGGGGUGGCAAAGAGUUGGGAGACGACUGAGCGACUUCACUUCACUUCAUAUACCCUUGCAGACCUUUCUCUUCACCACAAAACUCUCUUCUUUUUCCCAGUGAGACCACAUUGAGUAGAAAAUCGGUUUUCCACCAACAAUUCAUUUGAGGCAUUUUCCACAAUUUACACAGUUCUGCCUCUUUUUUAAAAAGGCUGUAUAUUAUUUCUCCCUAUGGCCACAGCAGAACUGACUGAGCGAGAGGCGCUCUUACUUUCAGAUGAGCAGAUAAAGCUCUGGCAGGUGUGUGACUUAAGGUCACACAGUAAGCGGCAGGGACAGGGCUAGACCCAAGCCUACCUGAUUCCAAAGCCUGUGUUCUCAAACACUGGGUCCCACAGGACACCUGUUUUGAAUGUUUCUGUCAACUAGACUACAACCCCUUUCAAGAUAGCGAAUUAGUGUCUUUGAGUCUCCAAUGCCCAGCACUGCAUUGGCAUAUAAUCAAAGUUAGUGCAUG
rnacentral:lncRNA from 1 species